rnacentral:misc_RNA from 1 species
UAGUUCCAGUACUCCUCAAACUCUU